GUGACGUCUUCGUUUCAAUUUCCCCGUUUGCGUUACUUCAUAAAACUAUCUGCCGUGAACUAUUUCUAAGUUUUCCUUUUUGCGGUCCAAAAGAUGGUUCGCCAAGGAAAGUCCUGAAAUGAACUGCCUCAUAAAUGCUGAUGUGACAACAGGGCUAUUUUUUCAACUUUAAGACUCGUCGGAAAUGCACAGAAUGUGUGCUGGGAGAAUUGACAACAUGAAAACUGACAUCCUAUUGAUUUGAAGACUACAAUCUGGAAAAUGUGGAGGACAAUCGAGUGAAAAAGCAGAAUAUUCCUCUCUUCCAGAAGAGGCAGAAGAAAGAGUAAUAAUAGAAAACUGGGUGCUAAGGACAGGAGGAGGAGUGGAUAUUUCAUUCUGUGAAGCAAGAUCAUUACUGGAAGAGAUUAGGUAUCGGAGAGGAGGCAAGAUGUUGGCAUAGCUGUUAUGUUUAGGACCUGCUAUGCCUACAUAUUGUCAUCUUUCCUGUCUGCUUCCUGCAAAAUAAUGCAUCUUAAAAACCCAACAGCAAAUAACAACAACCAAUCAAAGAUAACUUGCUAUACAAUU